UUUGAAAAUAUAUUUUAAUGUUAUGGCUUCAUUAUAUAGAUCAACAGGUCAUACAUAGUAAACAAAUAGCUACUUUAUAAUAACACUCAAGUGUUUUUACUAAAAUUUAAAUAAAAUUAUAUUUUGUCCAUCAUUCAGGUUGCAGAGAUGUAGUACUUUCAAUAUGAUUCUGAGGUGUGGGAGUUGUACUCACAAGCCAUUCUGAAGAGAAAUCUCAUUCAACUUCUGAGGAGACAUCUUACUUAAUCUCCAUUUAACCCUUUUAUGUAAGUAAUUGGCAAGUUAAAAAGUCCAGUUCCUAGACUCCUUUGCAGCUAGGUUCUGUCCCUUAGACACUCUUAGAUGAGAUCUAGAAACCACAAGUGAGGCAGGGGCCAUUUUCUUGCUCAUGUUGCAGCUGGCAGGUAAGUUCUGACAGUUGU
rnacentral:lncRNA from 1 species